GUGCCAGGUAAUGCCUGGGGGGCGUGAGCCUACGGAAAGUGCCACAGAAAAUAACCGCCUAAGCACUUCGGUGCCGGUAAGGGUGAAAAGGUGCGGUAAGAGCGCACCGCACGUCUGGUAACAGUUCGUGGCUAGGUAAACCCCACUCGGAGCAAGACCAAAUAGGGUUCCAAGGCGUGGCCCGCGCUGGAACCGGGUAGGUUGCUAAAGAUGUCCAGUGAUGGCCAUCGUAGAGGAAUGACUGUCCUCGACAGAACCCGGCUUACAGAUCGACUCUCCAC
rnacentral:RNase_P_RNA from 1 species